UUUACUUUCCAAAUGCAUGUUUUAAUUAACUACUGCUAAUAGAGAAAGCACAGAGGCUUUUGCAUAUGUGGCUCUAGGGGGGAAAAGAGAUGGACGAUGACAGCGUUGCCAGAGGAAGUGGAGUUGGGCAGGCUGACUCUCUCGAACAGAAGGGGCUGAUGAGUUAAUGAAUGAACUAAGGAGACACUUGAAGAGUGGGAAACCAAUCCAGCUGAGGCCCUCGCUAUUCCAGAAUGUCAAGAAAGCUCUUCCUCACAAAUCGACCAGGAUUAACACAUUCCAAACAACUAGAAUAAGCAGUCAAAUAUCUCCUGCAAUUAGCCAUUUCAAUGAGAUACAAAUCAUUAUGCAACAAUGCACUCAAGCACUGGUCCCCAAAGCACAGCUUGUAAUGGCCUUCACAUUAAGUUGUUAUUUUGGGAUUUUCCAAGUUUCCUUCGGUGCAAUAGACCCUCUGAUUGAAACUGCAGUAGGAUCUUCCGCUUAGACAAAUUCAUUAUGUGGCACGUUGUUCACUAAAAGCACUGGAUGCUGUUACACAACAAAGCAGCUGUGGGGAUUAAUCCUGAUUAAAGUGGGGGGGGGAGACGAGAGGGGGAUUACAUGCAGAAUUUCAUUCAACAACUCAACGAUUGCUACAAAGAAGUAACAUGGAGAAACAGAUAGAUGUCUGGGUGAAUUGUGUUAUACAGAACUGAGAUAUGUUGUGCAUCUGGGGCUUUGCUACAAACGGUGAACUACUGGUCAUUUGCAAGAUGCAAGGGCACCAAUUCUUCCCUCCACCCCUCCUAUUGUGACACUACCUUCAACUCACUAUGGGUAGCUUCCAUAUGAAGAAGGAGCAGCCUUGCUGCAGGAGCAAGUCCACUUUGUCCCAAGAAGCUUCCAGCCCAGUCCAUUUAGGAGAAAUAAAUAAAUUACUUUCCAUAUA